rnacentral:rRNA from 1 species
ACUCCGGUACGGAGGCAGCAGGAUUGGGGAAUAAUUGGCACAAUGGGCGCAAGCUGAUGCAGCCAUGCCGCGUGUGUGAAGAAGGCCUUCGGGUUGUAAAGCACUUUCAGUCGUGAGGAAGGUAGUGUAGUUAAUAGCUGCAUUAUUUGACGUUAGCGACAGAAGAAGCACCGGCUAACUCCGUGCCAGCAGCCGCGGUAAUACGGAGGGUGCGAGCGUUAAUCGGAAUUACUGGGCGUAAAGCGCAUGCAGGUGGUUUGUUAAGUCAGAUGUGAAAGCCCGGGGCUCAACCUCGGAAUUGCAUUUGAAACUGGCAGACUAGAGUACUGUAGAGGGGGGUAGAAUUUCAGGUGUAGCGGUGAAAUGCGUAGAGAUCUGAAGGAAUACCGGUGGCGAAGGCGGCCCCUGGACAGAUACUGACACUCAGAUGCGAAAGCGUGGGAGCAAACAGGAUUAGAUACCCUGGUAG